GGUAAAAUAAAAAAAAAACACAAAAACAGAAAAGAAAAUGUGUUAUCAGCUUGCUUAUCAACAGUGAAAAAACACAACAGGACAUAGUGUGAUGAAUCAGAAAUCUCUUUAGGUUUUUUAAUUUACUUUUUAAGUACUUGCAUUUCUCAUUUCUAUAAAGUUCUAUUUAAUGCCCUAUGCAAAGCCAUAUCAGUAAUAAAGUACAGUUUUGUAAGAAUGCAUAUAUCAUUCCUGUAGCAGUUAAUAUCCAUCUUUUAUUCUUUUGUUUGGACUUGUAAAUUUAAAUGCUUUUUUCAGUCAUUCUGCUGCAGUUAUUUUUUAACCAAACCACGUACAGAAAAGUUAAACAUAGAUGUGCACAUACACAUAUAAGUGCAGCACAGCUGACUAGGCAAGGGCACCAACCUAUUAACACUGAGAAAAUUCUGGACAUGAGAAUCCAACAGUCUGUAGCUGUUGUACACUUCUGAGAUGAUGAAUGUAUUAAAAUCUUCCUAAAUAUACUGAGAAUAAGAACCUAGAUUUGCAGCUUCAAAACCUUGAAAGUAAUUCAGAGUUAUAUUUUUGAAUUAAAGUUUAUGUUACAUUAUCCAUCUUUCAGUCUCUCCUUUCAUUACCACUGCAAUAUUUUCUCAUAUACUUCUGAAUAGUUUCACCUUGACCAAACUAGUAAACACUAGUUCUGAUAUAUCAGCUUAUUUCUCCCCACUGUAAACAAACUGCUCUUCAGGUGCAUUAAAAGUGUCAAAUGGAUUUCAACAUAUAUCUCUUCAUUACCCCAGAUUUGUGUGUAAAAAAUAAUAUUAAAAUAAUGCAUGCAAGUACUGGAGUAUUGGGUAAAAAAAAGGGUAGAUGAUAGUUUUUUUCAUUAAUCGUCUAUCAGAUUAAUCAUCCAUCUACUGGCUCUUUAAUUUCUUUCUUUCUUAAUUAUUUAUCUAUUUGUUUUCAGUUAUAAAACCCAAGGACUACCCUCCACUCCUCUUCUUUCAAGUUGAGUCAUAGAAGACUUCAACAAAGAUAUUGAAGAAUAUUAGAAGAGUCUUUAUAUUCCUUGGGAAGAUGUUGAAGGGAUCAGGAAUACAGGAAUUAUUGGAUCAGAUCCUCUGGGAAUC
ensembl:lncRNA